UCUCUCUCAGGAUUGCACCUGGAGAGUUUCCCAGACUCUACCGGUCUCGGCUAGGGGAAAGAGAGUCAAGCAGAAGCCUACCCAUUCCAUUCCUAGCUUGGGCAGUGGCUAGCAAAUGGAAGGCACGCUGCUACAAAU
rfam:Ornithorhynchus anatinus chromosome 1, whole genome shotgun sequence.